ensembl:lncRNA
UCUUUUCUUUCACCAACCAUUAGCCCACUGGUUCCCUAUGAAGAUCACUCCUUUUGUUUUCCUCGCAAUAUUGUAGAAAGCAAGAUACGUGGCAAACACAGGUUUCCUUCUCCCCUUAUCACAUAUAAUCUUUGUAAUGAAUCCUCCCUUUCAAUAUUUCUUGAAUAUUUCCAUGAAUAUCUUCAUGAAUAUUUUCGUGAAUAUUUUCGUGAAUAUUUUAAUGAAUAUUUUGAUGAAUAUUUUUUGAUUAUUGGGGUGAUUAUUUUUUUGAUGAUUUUUUUGAUGAUUUUUUUGAAUAUCUUUUCUUUGACCAACCAUUAGCCCACAGGUUCCCUAUGAAGAUCACUCCUUUUGUUUUCCUCGCAAUAUUGUAGAAAGCAAGAUACGUGGCAAACACAGGUUUCCUUCUCCCCUUAUCACAUAUAAUCUUUGUAAUGAAUCCUCCCUUUGAAUAUUUCUUGAACAUUUCCAUGAAUAUCUUCAUCAAUAUUUUCGUGAAUAUUUUCAUGAAUAUUUUCGUGAAUAUUUUCAUGAAUAUUUUUUGAUUAUUUUUUUGAAUAUCUUUUCUUUCACCAACCAUUAGCCCACAGGUUCCCUAUGAAGAUCACUCCUUUGUUUUCCUCGCAAUAUUGUAGAAAGCAAGAUACGUGGCAAACACAGGUUUCCUUCUCCCCUUAUCACAUAUAAUCGUUGUAAUGAAUCCUCCCUUUGAAUAUUUCUUGAAUAUUUCCAUGAAUAUCUUCAUGAAUAUUUUCGUGAAUAUUUUCGUGAAUAUUUUCAUGAAUAUUUUGAUGAAUAUUUUUUGAUUAUUUUUUGAUUAUUUUUUGAUUAUUUUUUGGAAUAUCUUUUCUUUCACCAACCAUUAGCCCACAGGUUCCCUGUGAAGAUCACUCCUUUUGUUUUCCUCGCAAUAUUGUAGAAAGCAAGAUACGUGGCAAACACAGGUUUCCUUCCCCCCUUAUCACAUAUAAUCGUUUUAAUGAAUCCUUCCUUUGAAUAUUUUUUGAAUAUUUCCAUGAAUAUCUUCAUGAAUAUUUUCGUGAAUAUUUUCAUGAAUAUUUUUUGAUUAUUUUUUUGAAUAUCUUUUCUUUCACCAACCAUUAGCCCACAAGUUCCCUAUGAAGAUCACUCCUUUUGUUUUCCUCGCAAUAUUGUAGAAAGCAAGAUACGUGGCAAACACAGGUUUCCUUCCCCCCUUACCACAUAUAAUCUUUGUAAUGAAUCCUCUCUUAUAUAUAUAUAUAAUAUUUUCAUGAAUAUUGUUUGAAU